UACGUAGGGGGCGAGCGUUGUCCGGAUUUAUUGGGCGUAAAGAGCUCGUAGGCGGUUUGGUAAGUCGGGUGUGAAAUCUCCACGCUCAACGUGGAGGGGCCACUCGAUACUGCCAUGACUCGAGUCCGGUAGAGGAGUGUGGAAUUCCCGGUGUAGCGGUGAAAUGCGCAGAUAUCGGGAGGAACACCAAUGGCGAAGGCAGCUCGCUGGGACGGUACUGACGCUGAGACGCGAAAGCGUGGGGAGCAAACAGG
rnacentral:rRNA from 1 species